GGGCGGGCAUGCUUUACACAUGCAGUCGAACGGCAGCACAGAGAAGCUUGCUUCUUGGGUGGCGAGUGGCGAACGGGUGAGUAAUAUAUCGGAACGUACCGAGUAAUGGGGGAUAACUAAUCGAAAGAUUAGCUAAUACCGCAUAUUCUCUGAGGAGGAAAGCAGGGGACCUUCGGGCCUUGCGUUAUUCGAGCGGCCGAUAUCUGAUUAGCUAGUUGGUGGGGUAAAGGCCUACCAAGGCGACGAUCAGUAGCGGGUCUGAGAGGAUGAUCCGCCACACUGGGACUGAGACACGGCCCAGACUCCUACGGGAGGCAGCAGUGGGGAAUUUUGGACAAUGGGCGCAAGCCUGAUCCAGCCAUGCCGCGUGUCUGAAGAAGGCCUUCGGGUUGUAAAGGACUUUUGUCAGGGAAGAAAAGGACAGGGUUAAUACCUCUGUUUGAUGACGGUACCUGAAGAAUAAGCACCGGCUAACUACGUGCCAGCAGCCGCGGUAAUACGUAGGGUGCGAGCGUUAAUCGGAAUUACUGGGCGUAAAGCGAGCGCAGACGGUUACUUAAGCAGGAUGUGAAAUCCCCGGGCUCAACCUGGGAACUGCGUUCUGAACUGGGUGACUAGAGUGUGUCAGAGGGAGGUAGAAUUCCACGUGUAGCAGUGAAAUGCGUAGAGAUGUGGAGGAAUACCGAUGGCGAAGGCAGCCUCCUGGGAUAACACUGACGUUCAUGCUCGAAAGCGUGGGUAGCAAACAGGAUUAGAUACCCUGGUAGUCCACGCCCUAAACGAUGUCAAUUAGCUGUUGGGCAACUUGAUUGCUUAGUAGCGUAGCUAACGCGUGAAAUUGACCGCCUGGGGAGUACGGUCGCAAGAUUAAAACUCAA
rnacentral:rRNA from 1 species